rnacentral:rRNA from 1 species
GAUGAACGCUGGCGGCGUGCCUAAUACAUGCAAGUCGAGCGAACGGACGAGAAGCUUGCUUCUCUGAUGUUAGCGGCGGACGGGUGAGUAACACGUGGAUAACCUACCUAUAAGACUGGGAUAACUACGGGAAACCGGAGCUAAUACCGGAUGAUAUUUUGAACCGCAUGGUUCAAAAGUGAAAGACGGUCUUGCUGUCACUAAUAGAUGGAUCCGCGCUGCAUUAGUUAGUUGGUAAGGUAACGGCUUACCAAGGCAACGAUGCAUAGCCGACCUGAGAGGGUGAUCGGCCACACUGGAACUGAGACACGGCCCAGACUCCUACGGGAGGCAGCAGUAGGGAAUCUUCCGCAAUGGGCGAGAGCCUGACGGAGCAACGCCGCGUGAGUGAUGAAGGUCUUCGGAUCGUAAAGCUCUGUUAUUAGGGAAGAACAUAUGUGUAAGUAACUGUGCACAUCUUGACGGUACCUAAUCAGAAAGCCCCGGCUAACUACGUG